UACGAAGGGGACUAGCGUUGCUCGGAAUCACUGGGCGUAAAGGGUGCGUAGGCGGGUUCUUAAGUCAGAGGUGAAAUCCUGGAGCUCAACUCCAGAACUGCCUUUGAUACUGAGAGUCUUGAGUAUGACAGAGGUGAGUGGAACUGCGAGUGUAGAGGUGAAAUUCGUAGAUAUUCGCAAGAACACCAGUGGCGAAGGCGGCUCACUGGGUCAUUACUGACGCUGAGGCACGAAAGCGUGGGGAGCAAACAGG
rnacentral:rRNA from 1 species